rnacentral:rRNA from 1 species
GAUGAACGCUGGCGGCGUGCUUAACACAUGCAAGUCGAACGGAAAGGCCCAAGCUUGCUUGGGUACUCGAGUGGCGAACGGGUGAGUAACACGUGGGUGAUCUGCCCUGCACUUCGGGAUAAGCCUGGGAAACUGGGUCUAAUACCGGAUAGGACGAUGGUUUGGAUGCCAUUGUGGAAAGUUUUUUCGGUGUGGGAUGAGCUCGCGGCCUAUCAGCUUGUUGGUGGGGUAAUGGCCUACCAAGGCGUCGACGGGUAGCCGGCCUGAGAGGGUGUACGGCCACAUUGGGGCUGAGAUACGGCCCAGACUCCUACGGGAGGCAGCAGUGGGGAAUAUUGCACAAUGGGCGCAAGCCUGAUGCAGCGACGCCGCGUGGGGGAUGACGGCCUUCGGGUUGUAAACUCCUUUCGCUAGGGACGAAGCGUUUUUGUGACGGUACCUGGAGAAGAAGCACCGGCUAACUACGUG